UGGAGGGCAAGUCUGGUGCCAGCAGCCGCGGUAAUUCCAGCUCCAAUAGCGUAUAUUAAAGUUGUUGUGGUUAAAAAGCUCGUAGUUGAACCUUGGGCCUGGCUGGCCGGUCCGCCUCACCGCGUGUACUGGUCCGGCCGGGCCUUUCCCUCUGUGGAACCCCAUGCCCUUCACUGGGUGUGGUGGGGAAACAGGACUUUUACUGUGAAAAAAUUAGAGUGCUCCAGGCAGGCCUAUGCUCGAAUACAUUAGCAUGGAAUAAUAGAAUAGGACGUGUGGUUCGAUUUUGUUGGUUUCUAGGACCGCCGUAAUGAUUAAUAGGGACAGUCGGGGGCAUCAGUAUUCAAUUGUCAGAGGUGAAAUUCUUGGAUUUAUUGAAGACUAACUACUGCGAAAGCAUUUGCCAAGGAUGUUUUCAUUAAUCAGGAACGAAAGUUAGGGGAUCGAAGACGAUCAGAUACCGUCGUAGUCUUAACCAUAAACUAUGCCGAUUAGGGAUCGGACGGCGUUAUUUUUUGACCCGUUCGGCACCUUACGGGAAAC
rnacentral:rRNA from 1 species